rnacentral:rRNA from 1 species
UCUUUAUAAUUUUUAAUAUUUUGAAUUAUAUUAAUAAUUAUUUAAUUGGGGUGAUUUAAAAAUUAUAAUAACUUUUUAUUUUAUUUAACAAAAAUUUUUGAUUAAUUGAUCCUAUAUUAUAGAUUAAUAGAUUAAGU